rnacentral:rRNA from 1 species
UUUCCAGACUCCUACGGGAGGCAGCAGUGAGGAAUAUUGGUCAAUGGCCGCAGGGCUGAACCAGCCAAGUCGCGUGAGGGAUGACGGUCCUAUGGAUUGUAAACCUCUUUUGUCAGGGAGCAAAGGGCGCCACGUGUGGCGUUUUGCGAGUACCUGAAGAAAAAGCAUCGGCUAACUCCGUGCCAGCAGCCGCGGUAAUACGGAGGAUGCGAGCGUUAUCCGGAUUUAUUGGGUUUAAAGGGUGCGUAGGCGGGCUGUUAAGUCAGCGGUCAAAUGUCGGGGCUCAACCCCGGCCUGCCGUUGAAACUGGCGGCCUCGAGUGGGCGAGAAGUAUGCGGAAUGCGUGGUGUAGCGGUGAAAUGCAUAGAUAUCACGCAGAACUCCGAUUGCGAAGGCAGCAUACCGGCGCCCGACUGACGCUGAGGCACGAAAGCGUGGGUAUCGAACAGGAUUAGAUACCCGGGUA